GACGAACGCUGGCGGCGUGCUUAACACAUGCAAGUCGAACGGAAAGGCGCUGCGCUUGCGGGGUGCUCGAGUGGCGAACGGGUGAGUGACACGUGAGUAACAUGCACUUGUCUUUGGGAUAACUCCAGGGGACUGGGGCUCAUACCGGAUAGGAGCUACUGCUGCGUAGUGGGGGUUGGAAAGUUUCGGCGGUUGGGGCUGGUCUCGCGGCUUAUCAGCUGGAUGGUGGGGUAGUGGCGUACAAAGGGUACGACGGGUAGCCGGCAUGGGAGGGGGACCGGCCACAUGGGGACUGAGAGACGGACCAGACUCCUACGGGAGGCAGCAGUGGAGAAUAUGACACAAUGGGCGGAAGCCUGAUGCAGCAACGCCGCGUGCGGGAUGACGGCCUUCUAGUUGUAAACCGCUGUCGACUGUGACGAAGCGUGAGUGACGGUACCGGGUAAAGAAGCACCGGCUAACUACGUG
rnacentral:rRNA from 1 species